GCAGGACCACACCUGUCAUCUGAGGGGGCGGAGCCAGCGAACCUGCCUGAUUGUCUGUUUUUCUGCCGGAACAGAACUGGACCAGAUGGGCCGAGUCACAGGAAGGAGGCGGGUCGUGAUUCAGCAGCACAUGACUGAGAGCGAACGGCGGCAGCCAAGUGACAAAGUGACAAACAGACGAGAACCAGAGCAGCAGCGAUGCUAACGGCUCAGGUUCACUGAAGCAAGCCUGCCAGAGGAGGAAGAGGAAGGUCCUCACCCAGAAGAUGAAGGAGUAAAGCAGCAGCAGCGUCUUCAGGAUGAAGAUCACCGGUUUGGUCUCCAUCCUGCUGGGAGCCAUCAUCAGUCUG